UUACAGCAGCCCGACUUGAGCGGAAAUCCUUUUUUGCUUGUACUUCAAGUUUUAUUUGGACUGAAAACUUCGUGCAAAAAAGAUUGGGAGCAGAAGGCGGAUAAGCUG
rnacentral:misc_RNA from 1 species